rnacentral:rRNA from 1 species
CGCGUGGGAACGUACCCUUUGGUUCGGAAUAACUCAGGGAAACUUGAGCUAAUACCGGAUACGCCCUUUUGGGGAAAGGCUUGCUGCCGAAGGAUCGGCCCGCGUCUGAUUAGCUGGUUGGUGAGGUUAUGGCUCACCAAGGCGACGAUCAGUAGCUGGUCUGAGAGGAUGAUCAGCCACACUGGGACUGAGACACGGCCCAGACUCCUACGGGAGGCAGCAGUGGGGAAUAUUGGACAAUGGGGGCGAACCCUGAUCCAGCCAUGCCGCGUGUGUGAAGAAGGCUCUAGGGUUGUAAAG